GACAGAGGGGGCAAGCGUUGCUCGGAAUUACUGGGCGUAAAGGGCGCGUAGGCGGGAUGGCAAGUCGGUCGUGAAAGCCUUCGGCUCAACCGAAGAACGUCGGCCGAUACUGCCGUUCUUGAGGGAUGCAGAGGAGACUGGAAUUCCCGGUGUAGCGGUGAAAUGCGUAGAUAUCUGGAGGAACACCGGUGGCGAAGGCGGCAUCCUGGACCGGUAUUGACACUGAGGCGCGAAAGCCAGGGGAGCAAACGGG
rnacentral:rRNA from 1 species